UUAGUGAACAUGGUGAACAUUUUUCCUGCUAAACAUCAGCAUGUUAGCAUUAUCACUGUGAACAUGCUGAUGUUAGCUUUU